rnacentral:rRNA from 1 species
CCUACGGGAGGCUGCAGUAGGGAAUUUUCCACAAUGGGCGCAAGCCUGAUGGAGCAACACCGCGUGAGUGAAGAAGGGUUUCGGCGCGUAAAGCUCUGUUGUUGGAGAAGAACGUGCGUGAGAGUAACUGUUCACGCAGUGACGGUAUCCAACCAGAAAGUCACGGCUAACUACGUGCCAGCAGCCGCGGUAAUACGUAGGGGGCAAGCGUUAUCCGGAGUUAUUGGGCGUAAAGCGAGCGCAGGCGGUUGGUUAGGUCAGAUGUGAAAGCCUUCGGCUUAACCGAAGAAGGGCAUCGGAAACCGGGCAACUUGAGUGCAGAAGAGGACAGUGGAACUCCAUGUGUAGCGGUGGAAUGCGUAGAUAUAUGGAAGAACACCAGUGGCGAAGGCGGCUGUCUGGUCUGCAACUGACGCUGAGGCUCGAAAGCAUGGGUAGCAAACAGGAUUAGAUACCCCUGUAGUC